rnacentral:rRNA from 1 species
GACGAACGCUGGCGGCGUGCUUAACACAUGCAAGUCGAACGGAAAGGCCCUGCUUUUGUGGGGUGCUCGAGUGGCGAACGGGUGAGUAACACGUGAGUAACCUGCCCUUGACUUUGGGAUAACUUCAGGAAACUGGGGCUAAUACCGGAUAGGAGCUCCUGCUGCAUGGUGGGGGUUGGAAAGUUUCGGCGGUUGGGGAUGGACUCGCGGCUUAUCAGCUUGUUGGUGGGGUAGUGGCUUACCAAGGCUUUGACGGGUAGCCGGCCUGAGAGGGUGACCGGCCGCAGGGGGAGGGAGAGAGGGCGGCGGCGCGGGCGGGAGGCGGGAGGGGGGAGGAUGGGGGAAGAGGCGGGAGCCGGGGGGAGCCGGGGGGCGUGGGGGAGGACGGCGUGGGGGGUGUAAACCGCGGUGGCGGGGGGGGAGGGGGGGGGGAGGGGAAGGAAAAAAGAGGCGCCGGCUAACUGCGUGAGAGCAGCCGCGGUAAUAAGAGGAAGAGAAAACGUCUGAGC